UACGAACUGUGCGAACGUUAUUCGGAAUCACUGGGCUUACAGGGUGCGUAGGCGGCCUAUUAAGUCAGUGGUGAAAUAUCUCAGCUCAACUGAGAGUGUGCCAAUGAUACUGAUGGGCUUGAGUACAGAUGAGGUAGGCGGAAUUGACGGUGUAGCGGUGAAAUGCUUAGAUAUCGUCAAGAACACCUAUAGCGAAGGCAGCUUACUAGGCUGUAACUGACGCUGAGGCACGAAAGUGUGGGGAUCAAACAGG
rnacentral:rRNA from 1 species